AUUAAAGUGUAGUUUAAGAAAAAAGAGAUUUUAAUUUUCUUUAUAUUAUUAAUUUUUAUAAAUUAUUAUUAAAUAGAAGAAAAAUUUUGUUUUAUAUUAAAAAAUUUAAUAAAGAGGUUAAAUUAGAUUUGGCGAAAUUUGUGCCAGCCGCCGCGGUUACACAAAUAAAUCAAUUUUUUUAUUUUUAAAAAAAUAAAUGUUUUUAAAAAAAUAAAAAUUUUAUUGGGUGAAAUCAUAUAAUUUUUCAUUUAAAUUUAAAAAUUGUUUUUUUGUAAUUUAUUUAAUAAACUAGGAUUAGAUACCCUAUUAUUUUAAGCUAAAUUUUGUUAGUAUAUAUAAUAUAUGAAAUCAAAAAAUUUUGGCGGUGUUUUAAGCUUUUUAGAGGAAUUUGCUCUUUAAUGGAUAAAACGCCAUAAUCUUACUUAAUUUUGUUAAAACAGUUUGUAUACCACUAUGAUUAAUAAUAUUGAAUAAUAAAUUAUUUAAAUUUUUUUAAAUUUAAAAAUAAAAUGUUAAGUCAAGGUGCAGCAAAAAAUUAUGAAUGAAGUGAAUUACAAUGAUUUUUAUAUUAGGAUUAUAAAUGAAAAAAUAAAUUAGGAUUUAAAAGUAAAUUAAUAAUAUAAUGAUUAAUUGAAAAAAGCUCUGAAAUAUGCACAUAUCGCCCGUCGCUCUCUACAUAGAGAUAAGUCGUAACAAAGUAAAAAUACUGGAAAGUGUUUUUUAAGAUGA
rnacentral:ncRNA from 1 species